AUGGUUACUUCACAGAGACACCUUGCUAGAUGUUCAGUGGAGCUGAGUGCCUGGAAAUGGUCACCCUCAUCCAGUGAUUUGCAAGGUCACUUAAAAGCUCUGUUAUCUUUCUUCCUGAUGGCUGAUUGUCUGAGUGGAAAGGAGAGGCAUGAACUGAAGAAAAGGAAGCUGCUAUCUGACGUGACCCUGAAGACCUACUGGUUCCAACAGAUCUUCCUGGAGAUGGGUUUCACAGAAAUGCCAACUGACAAUUUCAUUGAGAGCUUCUUCUGUAACUUUGAUGCCCUCUACCAGUCCCAGCAGCAUCCAGCCGAGACCAGCAUGACACCUUCUUCCUCAAGGACUCAGCAGAGGCUCUGGAUUUUCCCAUGGAUUAUGUGGAGCAUGUGAAGUGGACUCACUCUCAGGGUGGUUAUAGCUUUCAGGGAUACAAAUAUGACUGGAAGCUGGAAGAGAGCCAAAAAAAACCUCCUAUAAACACACACCACAGCUGCCAGUGCCCCGGGAACUCUAUUGCCUUGCUGAGAAGCAGUCCUUCUUCCUAACCAAGUACUUUUCCAUUGACCCGGUUUUCUUUAAUGAGACAUUAGAUGCCACCCACUUGGCUGUUCCACCAGACUGAGGGUGUAGUAGCUGACCUUACCCUGGGCCACCUCAUGGGUAUCCUCAAAGAGUUCUUCACCAAACUUGGCGUUACACAUCUUCACUUCAAGCCAGUCUACAACCCUUCGACUGAGCCUAGCAUGAAGGUUUUCAGCUACCAAGAUUUGAAGAAGUAGGUAGAGGAGGGGAACUCUGGGGUUUUGCAGCCAGAGAUGCUGCUGUCCAUGGAGCUGCCUGGCAUGUCUGUCUUUGCCUGGGGCCUUUCCUUGGAGAGACCCACUAUGAUCAAGUAAGGUAUCAACAACAUCCGAGAGCUGGUGGGACACAAGGUGAACCUACAGAUGGUGUAUGACAGCACACUGUGCCGCCUGGACAAGUAGGCCUCACUGCUUACCCCUGGGAUCUCCCUGCUCCAUGUGUUCAACUCAUGCUCAUUCAGAAACUGCUUGGGCCCUCCCAACUUCCCUGGAUGUCUAGAGCCAACCUGGACCCCUCCUCCCCUGGACACCUGAACAUGUGGAACUUAGCCAUGCUCUGGCUCCUUUUCCUCCCACCUGCCCACACUUUCCCUCCAUAUUUAUCUGAAAAGUUGAGCCCAGACUUCCCACCUCCACCAAUAGGGCUGGCUUACCUCCCAGAGCAAACACACUCCUCAUUUAGGACUGGACUCCAGAGCAUGUCUUCUUGAGACAGAGUCUCUUUUGUACAUUCACCAGAGCUGGCUUCUGUCCACACUUGCCUUUUUUUAGUGGCCAGAUAUCUGUCCUUGAAUAAAAUAGUUCUGAUUUUUUAAAAAUUAUAGAAU
rnacentral:lncRNA from 1 species